GGAAGGCUUGGGAGUCCCCUAAGACACAUCCUCAGUCACUUCUCUCUGCCUGUGUCUCAGGAAGACCAGCUCCUCUUACUGUCUUCUGUGCUAGGGAUCACUUCCUUGUUGAGUGGGGCCUGAGUUUUGAGAGGAUCUUCUGCUCCUCUUCAUCUGGUCCCUUUCCUUCCAAGGCCCCAGAGAGGAAGGCAUGUGGUGGGCCCUAGCGGUGCUUCUAGCUUUCCUGUCUCCUGCCAGUCAGAAAUCUUCCAACUUGGAAGGGAGAACGAAGUCAGUCACCAGGCCGACUGGGUCAGCUGCUGAAAUCACCUGUGAUCUUCCUGGAGCAAGUACCUUAUACAUCCACUGGUACCUGCACCAGGAGGGGAAGGCCCCACAGCGUCUUCUGUAUUAUGAACCCUACUACUUCAGGGUUGUGUUGGAAUCAGGAAUCACUCCAGGAAAGUAUGACACUGCAAGCACAAGGAGCAGCUGGAAUUUGAGACUGCAAAAUCUAAUUGAAAAUGAUUCUGGGGUCUAUUACUGUGCCACCUGGGACAGGCACAGUGAUUCAGACCUGCCCUACACCACACUGAAAAUCUGCCUGUGGUUGCUUCUGGUACACAAGAUAGACCAGCCAACUCUCAUUUCCUGCCCUGAAUUUACUGUAUUCUGCACAAAGAGAAACACAGCUUAACUCCUGAUCUCCCCACUAAUAUCACACUCCCCUGGCAGCAGCUGCAACCUGUUCCCCACCCUCCCCCAGGACUUUCCUGAAGACCAAGCUAUCAUCUCCAGGCCUCAGCAAAGCAGCCUGGCUGAGAGCAAGGUUCUCUCAGCUCUCCUAGAACAUGGGGGAGGCCCACUCACUCUGCUUCCUAGGAUGGACAGGUACCCCUAGGGUCCAACUGUGAAGCAAGAUAUUUUGGACAAAAAUGGGAAGGGUAUUUUUACUGAAUCAUGCAUCCAAUAAUGGUCCAGAGAUCACAGCUGAGAGUGGUGCUUAUUCCUUAUGUCUAUAACAAUAUAAGCAAUACUGUAAUGACCACUAAAACACUAGGCCAAUAUAUGCAGUUGAACAUUCUCUCCCUCUGCCCUCCCUUUUAUUCUCGCUCUCCGUUCUUACUUCCAUGCUUGCUUUUACUAUUUUUCUCUCCUUCCCUCCCUUCCUCCUUUCCUUCCAUCUUCCUUCCCUCCCUCCCCCUCUCCCUCCCUUCCCACCCCCUUCCAUCCAUUCUGUUUCCUUUCUUUCCUUCCUUCCUUCCUUCCUUGCUUUUCUCUCUCUUUCCUUUUUGGGUACAUAAUCAGAAUACUUUUUCCACAAAAUCAUUUGAAAUAAUUUUUCUCUGUUUGUUCAUGCCAACAUUGAUAUAGCUACUUUAAUUGUUCAGUUUUCAUUUUUAUAUUUUGGAAAUUUGUGUAUUAUUUUGUUUUGUUUCAUAUCUGUUUUGUAUAUAUAAAGCAUUCACAUGGAACUGAAGUCGAAAUUAUAAAAGAAGAUGCAUUUG